rnacentral:tRNA from 1 species
GGUGGCUCAGUGAUAGAGUGCUUGCCUCGCAUGCAUGAGGCUCUAGGUUCGAUUCCUCAGCACCA